CCGGCACGGGUGAGUAACACGUAUCCAACCUGCCGUCUACUCUUGGACAGCCUUCUGAAAGGAAGAUUAAUACAAGAUGGCAUCAUGAGUUCACAUGUUCACAUGGUUAAAGGUAUUCCGGUAGACGAUGGGGAUGCGUUCCAUUAGAUAGUAGGCGGGGUAACGGCCCACCUAGUCUUCGAUGGAUAGGGGUUCUGAGAGGAAGGUCCCCCACAUUGGAACUGAGACACGGUCCAA
rnacentral:rRNA from 1 species